rnacentral:rRNA from 1 species
UACGAGGGGGGCGAGCGUUGUUCGGAGUUACUGGGCGGAAAGGGCGCGUAGGCGGCGCACCAAGUCAGGCGUGAAAGCCCUGGGCUCAACCCGGGAAUUGCGCUUGAGACUGGUGUGCUUGAGUACGGGAGAGGAUAGUGGAAUUCCCAGUGUAGAGGUGAAAUUCGUAGAUAUUGGGAAGAACACCGGUGGCGAAGGCGGCUAUCUGGACCGUAACUGACGCUGAGGCGCGAAAGCGUGGGGAGCAAACAGG